AGCAGAAUGCUAAUACUGCCUGUGAUCUACCACUCUGUGCAACAGAGCAACCAUAUUGCAUGCCAUCAACCGUGACCCCAUCAAAAUAUGAGAAUGGAGAACUGGUUUUACUAAAGCUCUCUCUGCUGGGGGGCAAGUGGAAAACGUCUUGUGGAAUUCGAUUUUUUAUCCCUACAUAUCAACUAAAUUGGAAUGCAGCUCUAAAUUUUUGUUGUUCGUUGGGGAUGCGUCUCGUCUCUGUCCAGUCUUACGAAAAGUUAGCUUGCAUGAAUAGCUUUCUCGAGGAAAAUACCGAAUACUGGACGUCGGGCACCAACUCUGGAUGUAAAAA